rnacentral:rRNA from 1 species
CCGCGGGAUUAGAGUUUGAUCCUGGCUCAGAUUGAACGCUGGCGGCAUGCUUUACACAUGCAAGUCGAACGGUAACAGGGAGCUUGCUCCGCUGACGAGUGGCGAACGGGUGAGUAAUAUAUCGGAACGUACCCAAGAGUGGGGGAUAACGUAGCGAAAGUUACGCUAAUACCGCAUACGAUCUAAGGAUGAAAGCAGGGGAUCUUCGGACCUUGUGCUCCUGGAGCGGCCGAUAUCUGAUUAGCUAGUUGGUGAGGUAAAGGCUCACCAAGGCGACGAUCAGUAGCUGGCCUGAGAGGACGACCAGCCACACUGGAACUGAGACACGGUCCAGACUCCUACGGGAGGCAGCAGUGGGGAAUUUUGGACAAUGGGCGCAAGCCUGAUCCAGCAAUGCCGCGUGAGUGAAGAAGGCCUUCGGGUUGUAAAGCUCUUUUGUCAGGGAAGAAACGGGAGUGGCUAAUAUCCAUUCCUAAUGACGGUACCUGAAGAAUAAGCACCGGCUAACUACGUGCCAGCAGCCGCGGUAAUACGUAGGGGGCUAGCGUUGCUCGGAAUCACUGGGCGUAAAGGGCGCGUAGGCGGCGUUUUAAGUCGGGGGUGAAAGCCUGUGGCUCAACCACAGAAUGGCCUUCGAUACUGGGACGCUUGAGUAUGGUAGAGGUUGGUGGAACUGCGAGUGUAGAGGUGAAAUUCGUAGAUAUUCGCAAGAACACCGGUGGCGAAGGCGGCCAACUGGACCAUUACUGACGCUGAGGCGCGAAAGCGUGGGGAGCAAACAGGAUUAGAUACCCUGGUAGUCCACGCCGUANACGAUGAAUGCCAGCUGUUGGGGUGCUUGCACCUCAGUAGCGCAGCUAACGCUUUGAGCA